UACGUAGGGUGCAAGCGUUGUCCGGAAUUAUUGGGCGUAAAGAGCUCGUAGGCGGCUUAGCAAGUCGGAAGUGAAAUCCCUCGGCUCAACCAAGGAAGUGCUUUCGAAACUGCUGAGCUUGAGUACGAAAGAGGAUCGCGGAAUUCCCGGUGUAGAGGUGAAAUUCGUAGAUAUCGGGAGGAACACCAGUGGCGAAGGCGGCGAUCUGGGUCGAUACUGACGCUGAGGUGCGAAAGCGUGGGGAGCAAACAGG
rnacentral:rRNA from 1 species